AAAGUUGGUAGUGAUUGCUGAUGUGAAUUCUGAGACCACCUGAGCACUCAGCCCAACUCCUA
ensembl:miRNA gga-mir-7447 gga-mir-7447